AUUGAACGCUGGCGGCAUGCCUUACACAUGCAAGUCGAACGGCAGCGGACCUUCGGGUGCCGGCGAGUGGCGAACGGGUGAGUAAUAUAUCGGAACGCACCUUUCAGUGGGGGAUAACGUAGCGAAAGUUACGCUAAUACCGCAUAUUCUGUGAGCAGGAAAGCAGGGGAUCGCAAGACCUUGCGCUGAUUGAGCGGCCGAUAUCAGAUUAGCUAGUUGGUGAGGUAAAGGCUCACCAAGGCGACGAUCUGUAGCGGGUCUGAGAGGAUGAUCCGCCACACUGGAACUGAGACACGGUCCAGACUCCUACGGGAGGCAGCAGUGGGGAAUUUUGGAUAAUGGGCGCAAGCCUGAUCCAGCCAUGCCGCGUGAGUGAAGAAGGCCUCGGUUGUAAG
rnacentral:rRNA from 1 species